GAGAGAUUAAAAGUGAUAGUUCAUGAAAUGUCCAUCAUAUGGUUUGGUAGGGCUGGACAAAAUAAAGAAACCCGACCCAAACCACCCAGUCCAUUGUAACCGAAAGAGGGCGGUUUGGUUACAGACGGGUUGUCAGGUUGCAAGUUUGGUUAUUGUUGGAUAUCAUUGGAUCGGUACGGUUUAUGAAAAUCAACCCACAAAUAUCCAUUAUCGAUCGAACUUCGUCAUUUCAUUGGCAUCAGCUAUCAGUAUUUGUACAGGCCCAAUAACUAAACCCCAUUCAAUAAAAGCCCACUCAGAUACUUAUAAAACUAAGAUUAACCCUAACCUAACUCACCUCACUCUCUUCUCUUUUGCGCCGUUCUCCCCCUCUCUCCGAGCCUCACCAUCAUCGUUCCACCAUCAAGUCUUCUGGUUGGAUUUGUGAAGACAUAACAUCAUCAAGUUCUUCUGUUAUUGUUUCAACUUUCAUUCUGUCAGGUUUGUUCUAUGAAGACAUAAGAUUGAGGUGAAUAAAUUAAACCCUAAACAUUCAGGUUAUGUUUCUUCUUCCUUUUUAGUAAAAGUCACAAGUUCUCUAUUUCUUUGUUGCCUCUUGGAACUAGUUUGCUAAUUCUAAUGUCUUUUUUAUAUUGAUAGAUGGAGCAUGGAGUUGGAGAUGGAAGCUUUCAUGGAGUUGGAGUUGGAGAUGGAAGCUUGCAAGGAGUUGGAAAUCCUAGCUUGCAAGAAGUAACUCAAGCGUUUAAUGUAUCGCUUAGUGUUGGAGCAACUGCUCCUGGGCAGGUUGGGCCUGCUUAAUUCACUCUCAGAUAUGAAUUCUUUUUUGGACAUUUUGGAGUCACUUUGGGACUCGACACACAAGCCAUCUUUUUGAAGACUUUUUUGAAACUCAUUUUCGGAAUUAGCUAUUUUCCAUUUUGCUGUUGCUUAAGCUCGACCAAGGUCUGAAUCAAGGUCUCUUUUAGGUAUUGGAAAUGAUGUUGGCUGUUGCAUCGAGCUGUGAUUGUUACCACCGUUUUGUAACUUGCAUACUAAGUGUUCGGAAAGAAAGAAGUAAUGAAGCAAGCUCUUUUAUUCUGGAGUCAUAUCCGCCAUGUGAUAAUGUCGAGAUUUUGAAGCAUGCUCUUUUAAACAGCAAAGUGAGUUACAACUACAAGGUUAGAUUCAACUGUGUUUCACCUCACACCAACUAGAACCAGCCAGAUUGACACACGAGAUCACCUUCUAGCAACAAACUACUUAUGAAAGACACCUUGACUGCAAGACUUUGAAUGCUAGUGACACAAGCACUAUGGAUAUUUGAUAUGUUGAGUUUUCUUGUAAAAUAUUUGAAGAUUUUAAUUAUAUGUAAUAUUAGAUGGUUGUGUUGUGACUGCUGCCAGGUUGAUGAAAAUGAUAUCCCGGUACAAGAAACUUUUCUUUAUGAUGUAAUAUUAGAUGAUAUGUUAUGACUGUUGCCAGGUUGAUGAAAAUAUAUCCCUGUGCAACUUUUAUUUACAGUGCAGGAACUUUUAUGAGUAUGAAUUAUGUAGCUUUAAAAUAUUUAUAA